UCUCUUGCGCGUGCGCUCAUCUCUUUGUGGUCGACGCCAUGGUGGUGGCCUUAGGAAGCUUCUCAAUUCGGUAGUACACUUUGAAUUCUCAACUUCUUUCUUGCUUUCUCGUUCUUGGAUUUGGAUUUGUGAUUUGUUUCUAUUUUUUCUUCUUUUAGAGAGUAUACAGCAAAAAGGAGGAGCAUGGAUUUGGCAAAUGCUAGCCGUUCGAAGGGGAUGGGGAUAGGAAGAAAGAGGGAGAGAAGUUUGGGUUAGUCUUCUUUUUUUUUUAAAAUUCCUAUAAAUCAUGUAUUACUGGUGUAUUAGGAGCCUAACCAAUGGUAUAUUAAGACUAAACAGGGUUGCUAUUGAUCUAACCCGAUAUGACCUAUUUAAUAAACAGGUUAAAUGGGUCGGGUUGGGUAACUUAUUUAUUAAAUAGAAUAGGUUCAGGUUUCAAAAUCAGACUUGUUUAAUAAAUAGGUCGGAUUCAGAUUUGGACUUUUUUGAUCCGACUCGCAUCCGACCUGAUUUGUUUAUGACCCGACCCGAUCCAGCCUGAUUGCCACCCCUACUACAUGUAACCUUUGUUGAAUAGGUCCAAAAUAUUACAUUAAACCCAUGUAGAGUAGGUUCGAAGUAUUAUAUUUAACUCC
rnacentral:lncRNA from 1 species